UACGGAGGGAGCUAGCGUUGCUCGGAAUCACUGGGCGUAAAGGGUGCGUAGGCGGGUCUUUAAGUCAGGGGUGAAAUCCUGGAGCUCAACUCCAGAACUGCCUUUGAUACUGAGGAUCUUGAGUACGGGAGAGGUGAGUGGAACUGCGAGUGUAGAGGUGAAAUUCGUAGAUAUUCGCAAGAACACCAGUGGCGAAGGCGGCUCACUGGCCCGUAACUGACGCUGAGGCACGAAAGCGUGGGGAGCAAACAGG
rnacentral:rRNA from 1 species